rnacentral:rRNA from 1 species
UACGUAGGUGGCAAGCGUUGUCCGGAUUUACUGGGCGUAAAGAGCGCGCAGGCGGUCGUUCAAGUCGCGUGUGAAAGCCCCCCGGCUCAACUGGGGAGGGUCACGCGAUACUGAUCGACUCGAAGGCAGGAGAGGGUAGUGGAAUUCCCGGUGUAGUGGUGAAAUGCGUAGAUAUCGGGAGGAACACCAGUGGCGAAGGCGGUUCUCUGGGCAUGUCCUGACGCUGAGGAGCGAAAGUGUGGGGAGCGAACAGG